AUUUGUCAUAGAUAUUUUCUUCUCUCUCCAGGGCAUGGCAGUUUCUAUGGUAAUAAUGCCCUUGGUCGCCGUUCAAUGACCGAAUAAAAAGAAAGAAUGAUUCUCUCUGCCCGAUCGCCGUCGUGCUUCGCUUCUCGUCGGCAGGUACUGGCGAUUAAUGAUUCGCUGAUCCGUACUGGUAAAGAAAUGAGACGUUCGGUGUUCUGAUUUUUUAUUCUUCACCAGGAAAUGUUUUAGGUGUGAAGUGUAUGAUGACGUUUUUUUAGAGCCUAUGCAUUUCAAUUAGAGACAUGGUGAAAGAUCCUCUUCCUUUGAGGUUGGAGAGCAAUAAUUUGAUGUUGUUUAAGUGCUAACUUUAUCUCAGGGAGCAAGCCGCUGUUAAUGGCUCUGUGAAUGGUGUUGCUUUCCCUAGGUUAUAUGUAUAUCUUGAUGUUGAAGAUUUUAUGUAAUAUAGUGCCGGGUAGGUUUUCUGUGAUUGGUCGUUUCAAUUCUUAAUUGUAUAAUAAGGAUAUUGCUGUGACACUUUGUCGGGAAGACACUAGCAUGGUGUUAUUUUCCAGAUUGCCUAACACUUAAAUUGUUUAGAUGAAAUAAUGAGAAAAAAGUAACAUCAAUUUAGCUAGGCAGUGAUUCUUUUCUCUUACAAUUUAUUUUUAUUCAUUGAAAAUGUUGCCAGAAUCUUUAUAAUUACUCAAAUGGAGUAAACAUGCAGUGCUGUAGUCUGUAUCAUCAAGUCAGUACACAGCUAAUAAUCUUUCAAAUCCAGAAAAGGUGUUCAAUGUUUCAAAGUAUUGCCUCAGCUUUGCUGCGCUAUCAGAGAAGGAAGGAAGGUUAUCAAACUAAUAAAUGCCAUCCUCAUGCAUCAUAUGUCAUUGAGCAGUUAUGGCAUGAAGUUGGAUUUUAGAAGGACGUCAUAGAAGUUGUUAUACGUGGCCUGGUUGUUGACAGCUUGUUGUCAGACAACCAUCCUUGGUUGUCAACUGGCUUGGGCUUAUGCUGGUGUAAUCUGCUACAGAAAAUAGGUGAUUAGUAUAUACCAUUAUACGAGGAGAAAUAGGAUGGAUGCAAGGUGCAUAUUCUAUAUUAUCUGUUUGAGUGAGUACCCCAGUUUCAUUGUUUUGGUUGGUUGUUCAUUGUAUUGAGACUGCGGCUGGCUUAGCUGGAGGCUGAUAGGUGCGUGUAAGUCAUAUCCGUUGCUUAGAGUGCAUGUCGGAUCAGAUGUCCCAUUUUCUUCAUUCAUGCUUUGUGCUUCAUAAGCCUAUGAUUUAAGACUUCUAUUUAGGCUUCUGAAGGAAACAUGAAAAUUUUAUCUUUUAAAUAAACAGCACUGGCCUAAUGCAUUAGUAAAACCUGAUCGAUGUAGUUCUUGUGAGUGCAUACUUGGUGAUCAUACAUGCAUUUCCUCGAGACGUGCUUAUAUAUUAUAAAAACAUGUAUAACAGUUCUGAUAACUAUAUUUGAUAUGAUUUUGAUCAGAUACCUUCUUUCUCAGUUCUGCAUUUUCUUUCUGGAUGAUGUCUAUCUUUUUGUGAAGUUGUACAUUUUCUUCAUGAAUGAGAUUUCCCUGCAAUAUCAAUAGUUGGUCAGAACCUGCAGAGACGCCUUAGUUGGGACUUUGAAGGAACAAUACAAAACCCUAUAAAAUAGAAACCUUUUGGUGUAGUUCUUUAAUCUCGUCAUUUAAAAGUUGAUCCUGCAGGGAAAUGAAUGUACGUGUCAGGGUCAUGCUUAAAUUUUGAUUUGAAUUGAUCUCUCAUACCUUCCUCAUUCGGACACCCUUCAAACUCAUCUCUAGUUGGUUUUCCAGAUUUUGUAGUUCUUUAAUUCCCAAACCAGAAAGCUCUUCACCCAUCAGUUGCCUGCAUUUAAGAAAAGUAUCAAAAGCUUUCCGGAUUUUAAUUUGGGGUGUUUGAAGACUUAAACAUUAUAGAAUUUUCAUCCAUAGUUCUAUUGUUAUUUUUGCAGUUGUGUUUUUGUUGGAGCUCCACAUUGGAUCUGCAAAUAAUUCUUUUGUAUUUAUGUGGCUUAGUUUGUCUUCCUUUAAACCCAGUUUUUAAGGAUUUAGAUCCCCUCCAUACACUCUCUCAACACCUCCCUCCAUGCCCAAUUACAUGUCCAUUUAAAUAUUUAUUUGAUUUAAUAGUAUAAGAUUGCUAAUUGUUGCGUUGAGAUAAAUAUAUUAUUUAUUUAAUAAUUAUUAUAUAGAGAAGCAUUAUUAUCGUAUUUUUAAAAGCAUUUUAGUAAUGAUAAUGAAUAAAUGCUUUUGAAAAUAAAAUUAUAAUGUUUUUUUAUAUGGUAAUUAUUAAAUGAAUAAUAUAUUUAUUUUAAUACCGUAGUUAGCAAUCUUACACCAUUAAACCAAAUAAAUAAUUAAAAUGGACGGAUAAUAUUGAGUACGGCAAAAUGUAUUGAGGGAAAGCAUGGAAAGGAUCCAAAUCCAGUUUCUAAAGUGUGGAUUUUCCAGGCUUCCACAAGUCUCCUUCAAUAGGUAUCAUAGCUGGACUACCUUUUACAAAAAAGGGCUACAGGCUACCUACUAAUGGUCUGGUCUAGCAGGUGGAGUGAACACCUUGGUGUGCAGUCUUCAAGGAUUUGAGCUCCUACAGGCAGUGCUAUGAUGGAGUCCCACAUUGGAUAAUAAGCAAUUUUUGUAGUACUAAGUCGCAUGGUUCUUCUCCCUUACAAACCUGUUUUUAAAAAGGUGAGUUCCUCAUGUUUGCUGAGGUUUUCUUUGGUUUCAAGAGCUAUAGUUCUGCACUUUACAGUUUUUUAACCCAUUGGUAAAUUUUUGAGUGGUGAGAUUUACAAUGCAAUUAACGCUUUCUCAUGGGGCAGCGAGUGUCAAAUUGCAUUAUUUUACAUACAGGGCAAUUUAAUGUUAGUUUGGUCUUGAUAGUGCUCAUAAUAUGAAAUAAUAUUCAAAGAUAAGAACUUUUAUGCAUCAUUUUUUAUAUUAUAUUUUUCAAACUAGUUAAUAUGAUAUUGAAUAGAUUCACUGUUACUCUGAUCAUGGGUGAGAACAAUUUCAUGUAGGAAAGGAAAGAGAUUGGGAUUAUUUUGUUGUGUUGGUAUUAUAUUGGUAGGAUAUCUUUGUUGGGUGCUAUUUUAGAUCGUUUCCUGGUUGUUGUCUUCUUAUAUCCUGACCCUUUAUUCUGUGGCAUCUCUUGCCAUGCGCCAUCUUUUGGAACCUCAUUCUUUGAGUGAUGAAGAAAAAAUGUAUAUCCUUGGAAUCGAUAUCUGUAACUCAUUUUUUGAAAUUUUCUUUGUUGGGAACCUCACUCUCAUUAAAACAAUCUUUUAGGACCUAACUGUCAUUCUCCCAUCAAUAGGGGAUGGAUUAGGUUUUUGCCCUCCAGUUAUUUGGCCUGCAUGGUGUUUGGCUUGGAAGCAUAGAUUAUGGCAUGGACAUGAGACAUGACACUGGCACUGCAACAGAAUAAUUGAAUUAUUUGCAUUUAAUUUUGGGAGAAUGACAGUAAGGCCCCUACGGACCAAAUGAAAGAUAGCGAGGUCCUUGACAAAAUAAUUUGAAAAAUAAGUUACUACUCAUUUUUCAAAAGAUUUUGUUAGGGGCCUAACUGUCACUAAUUGAAUCUUUUGGGAACUUAAAUGCCAUUCUCCCUUUAAUUUGAUGUGUCAAGUUGUGUCUUGUGUCUUUUACAAGUGGCUGGUAUGUGUUGGACAUUGGACGUAGUUCUUUUUUCAAGUUUCUGUGCUCCAUAGGUGCUGGAGCUGCUGCAUUUGCAGUUAGUUCAGUUAUGGAUGAGGAGGAACAAGAACAAAAAGUUGGGAUAAUAGAGAUGAGGAUGUUGAGAUGGAUGCAUAGCUUUUUUGGAAAAUAGGUAAGAUUUUUUUUUUUUUUUUUAAGUUAUGGUGCAUUAAAGGCAAAUAAUUGCAGACUUAAGGCAGCCAUCAGCUGAUCUAAAGAGGUCUCUUCUGCUUUUCUUGUUAUUUGGGAAUGCUAGAUGUGCCUACUCCAGUUUUUUUCCUUUUGGAAUUCAAGGCAUUGAUCGAAUGCUACAAUGAGUAUUUUUCCUAUUCUCAUGUUACUAUAUUUUCUUUUUAUUUGUUGUUCAGUUCAACCUUUUAGGGCUGCUAAAUCACUGUCAUUACCUACCAAAUGGAUAAUUUCAUUCUUUUCUUUUUUUUUUUUUUUACUUUUGGUUUUACAGUCAGGUGACAGUUCGGUGUUCAAGUCUUUUUACCUGUGAUAAUCUUGCAAGUACUGUAGUUGUUGCCUCAAGCUUGCUACUUCUCUCUGCCAAAGCUAGCAAAUACAAAUAAUCAUAUUAGAUAAUAUAAAAAUUAACCUUGUUUAAUUAAUUGCUGGUAGUGAAAAGAGUUACAAACUAGUAAGGUUUGAUUCCAACACUUCGCCAAGAACUUGCGUGAUGUAGGUCUAAAAUUUUUCAUUAGAUAGUGUAUGCUGUAAAUGUGUAGUUUCAUUUUGGCUUGGUUUGGAUGGAGAUUAAAGUGGGAAGAAAAUGAGGAGAGAAAAUUAGAGGAAAAUUUUUCCAAAAAUAUAUAUUAUUUUUUACUAUUUUAGAAGUUUUUCCUUUUAGUUUUCCCUGCUCCCUGUUUUUCUCCCCCUCUAAAUCAAGGGUUAAUGUCAUUUCACAUACGUGUGUCCUAUUCUAUUGAGAACUUAUCUAGGUCAAAUUCAUCAUGGAUGAUGGGAGCUCUCUCUUAUUUAGAGUUUAAAUUUUGUAAUGACUAUGUUGCCGGAUGAUAAGUCUAGGAUUAGUUAUUCUGUUUCUGCCUUCAUUUUUUUAUCCUUCUCUCAAGCUUAGAUUGCCAAUGUAACCCCUGAAAAACAAAAACAGAAAAAAAAAAAGGCAAGUUUUAUGCUCCCUUUGAUCCUAUUUAUAAGUUACUUACUGCAUUUUUAUUGAAAUCAACAAAAAUUUAAAUCUUAUUAACUCUGUUUAAAAGAUCAAUAAGUUUUCAAUUUUUCCCUUACUAAAUAUACACACUUUAAAAAUAAAAUACUUUGCCAUUUAAUAAUCUUCUCAACAUUUAUUAGAGGCAAAAGGGUAAAGGUGAACACUACUCAUUGGUGCUUACAAAUGGAAUUAAAACAAAUAUUCUCUCUCUUUGCCUAUAAAUAAGAUUAGAGUAGUAUUAUCCAGCAUUCAAGGCCUUGGUUCGGCAUAGUUAUGGAAAAUACGGAAGCAUCUCAUUCAACUGAACUUGUUGAAGUUUACUUCGAAAACUGUGCAUCAGAAUUUAAGACUUAUGCCCUGAAUUGGUAUGGGCUGGCCCGACUUUGUGUCAUCUAUGCACUAAUAUCCUCCUAGGCCCGUCGACUUGUGUCCCUCAGUUUUGAGCGCCAAACUUGUAUUUAUGUGAUUCAAAUGUACAAGGUACGGAAUGGGCAAAAAAGCCAAUGCAUUUUUUCCCCCUCUGUUCGAGCUAUUCAAAACAUGGAAGUGAAGCUUGAUUCCAGAUGGCAACUAAACUCACAAACAUAGAAUCAAGACUAACAGACAAGAGAAUGUUGGUUUUCGUGUAACCCUAUCUUAACCCAUCCUAUAAACCUUGAUAUUACAUCUGACCAGCAAACAAACAUCACUCCAGCACCUAAUCCUACUCCUACAACCACUGAAACCAGACCUAAAAGUGAUCCUACCAUUGAAACUAGACCUGAAUCUAGUCCAGACUGACCCGGCAGAUCUGAAAUCUGACCCAUUCCAGGCAAACCAGACAAUGUCCGGCGGCUGAAUGUGCAUGAACAGCAGCAUAUUGAAGGACAGGUGCAGAGUAGUGAUGGACGUAUAGGUCCAGAAGCAGCUCAAGAUGCCCAAGAAUGUCUAUGAAGCACUUCAAAUUCUUGAAUGGAAAGAUGCUAUUCAUGAGGAGAUGAAUGCCUUAAAGAAGAAUGAUACUUAGGAAAUCGUAUAGCUGCCAAAGGGUAGGUCUACAGUUGGGUGUUAAUGGAUCCUCACUAUUGAGUAUAUCCCAAAUGGAAGUAUCGACAAAUAUAAAGCCAGGCUGGUUGUCAAAAGGUUUGCUUAAAUAUAUGGCAUUGAUUAUCAGGAGACUUUUGUUCCGGUGACUAAGUUCAAUACCAUUAGGGUAUUUAUAUUGCUUGCUUGUAACCUUGAUUGGCCUCUUUAUUGAUAAAUUGAAGGAGGAAGUUUAUAUGGACACGCCUUAAACGGUAAAUUGGAGGAGGAAGCUUACACGGACAUACCUUAAGGAUUUGAAUCUAAGGAACUUCCAAAUAAGGUUUGUAGGUUAAAAGGAUCAUUGUAUGGUUUGAAAGUCACGACAUGCUUUAUUUGAAAGAUUUACUAUGAUGAUCGAAAGGAAUGGUUUUAAUCAAUGUCAAAUAGAUGACACUUUUGUGAAGCAUGCAUUAAAUGGAAAACUCUGUUGAUGGUUUAUAGUGAUAACAUUGUAAUCAUAGAUUCAUGGGUGAUGACAAAGAAGGAAUUUACAACUUGAAGAAGCUGUUAGCCUCAUAAUUUGAAGUAAAGGAUCUAAGGGGUUUGAGAUACUUCCUAGAAAAUAAAGUUACUAGAAGACAAAAAGUUGGUUGAAAAGAAUUUAUUUGAAAAGCUUUGAUCAAAGACUUGUUUUGCAAAAUUAUUAAAGUUAUAUCAUAUCAGAACAUCGCAUAGCGAAAGACGAAAAGUUGCAUUCAUAACGUUCAAUGCAUGCAUUAAAAAUUACAAAAUCAGGUUGAAAAGUGGGCCAUGUGUUAUGGUGUGUAGUAUGUGGGCUGCGGCAUGUGGCAUAGAGCCACAUGCUUGAUUCUCUGACAUGCGCUAGUUUGAAAUUUUUGCUGUCAUUUUAAUAAUAAAAUGAUGAACUUUUGAUGUACGUCGUUUUUAUAUAUGACGUUUGAUUAGAGUGAUUCAAGUGGCUACAUGAAUUUUAUCUCAUAAGUUAGUUAAUAAGAUAGGUUUAGACACAAUUUAAUAGUCCAAUAAAAAUUUGGACACUCAGAUAUAAAAAGUCAAUUUUUUUGAAAAUUUUGCACACCUAAGUGCUCAAAUCAAUUCCUUUCUUUCAUUAGAUCACAUAAGGCCUUGAAUCAAAACUAAGGAUGGAAUUUCAAUCUCACAAGAGAAAUAUGCAUUAGUAGGUACCAAUCUCUAGUUGGAAAACUUAUAUACCUCAGUCAAACAAGGCAAGACAUUUUAUUCUCAGUUAGUAUAGUGAAUCAACUAAUGCACUAGCGUAAUGUAGAACAUUGAAAGUCAGCUUAAAAAAAUCCCAGGAUGCUUAAAGGCUGCUCUGGGAGUGUACUCGUAUAAGAGUCUCAUGAAGUAAUAUAUGUGUAUUCAAAUGUAGGUUGGGUUGGAUCAGUGUAUGGGCGUUCCAUUACUAGAUGCUUGCUGUGUGUUUGUGAACGUAUGUGGAUAUGUAUAUUGUUAAAGGAACUGAAAUUGGACUUUAAGGUUAUGUUUGGUACAUAGCAUUAGGAGGGUGGGAUUGGGAUUGGUAUUAGGCAAUCCCACCUUUUCAUGUUUGCUAUGGGGUAAUGGAAAAUUUAAUUCCAAUCCUAAUCCCUUUAAAGUGGGAUUACUCAAUACCACCCACCCCCUUAGUAUUAGAAAAUCAAUCCUGGGAUUGAUUAUUUUUUGGCCAAAAUGCCCUCCACCCCAUCCCUCUCUCGUCUCUCCCUCUACCUUCUAACCUCCACCCUACCUCACAGCCAUAACGAGGGCAUCGACGGCAGCCACACAUAAGCACAACGCCGAUGGCAACACACAUAGGCACAACGCUAACGGCAGCCACACACAGACAUAAUGGUGAUUGAACGACGUCUCUCAGUUCCCAUCUCACUUUGUCAAUCUCCAUCACUUUAUCGAUCUCCAUCACUUCGUCGAUCUACAUCACCAAUGAAUAAGUGGCCUUCAUCCAUCGAAAACCAGAAACCCAUUUGCGCCUCUGGUCACUAGUAAGUAGAUCUUUAUGACUCCAUUGAUCUACAUGAAAACCAGAAAAGGAAUAGCAAGAAGAAGAAGAAGAUUGAGUGUGGCAGAGAGAGCUCUGGGGGGCGUGCUCUCUGUGGAAGAAGGGGAGUAAUUGCAGACGCGCCGUCGUGCUCUUUAGGGAGGAGGGUAAUGCAUUAGCUAGGUUAUAACUUUUUCUUUUUAUUAUUUUAAGGGUAUUAUAGUCUUUUUAUGAUUUAUAUUUAAUUGUAAAAUAAAAUAUAGGUAAGUAUUCCUUAUAAAUAUUACUCCAUACCAAAUAUAAUUUUAAAACCUCAUUUCCAAUCUCAAUCUCAAUCUCAAUCCUAAUUCCAAUCUCAAUUCCAGUCCCAGUCUUUUUAAAUUAAAGUUGUGUACCAAAUAGGGCCUAAGGGUCCUGUGAAAGUGAUGUGUGACAAUAUGGAAGCCGUUGGGUUGGUUAAAAUUCUCGCCCACCAUGAGCGAACUAAGCACACAAAAUUGAUUGUCACUCCAUUAAAGAAAAGGUUGGCGCUGGAUUUUUGAAGGUGACACGCACGGAUAAGCAAGUGGCUUAUGUCUUGACCAAAGCCCUUCCAACUAAACAAUUUCAAGAUUAAACAGCAAGGUAGGCAUGAUUAGCAUCUGUAGCCCAACUUGAAAGGGUUGAAGGUUUUACUGGCUCUUCUUUUCAUGGGCCUGUAGCACAACAAAGCCCAUUAGGGCUCUCUUAUUUUUAGCACCUUUUGACUUCUUUUUUACAGUGUAUUUCUGAUUUAUUAUGUAUUCUUUUUUUUUUCCCUGAUGUUUUUAUUUAUAAUAUUAUAGGGCAGAACUUGUUUAGGGGAUAUCUGAAUUGAAUGAUAAGAUCUACCAUAGUUUUGAAGCUAGAGAAGGCAGGCUUGCUGCCUUCACAUUGUAGAUGUGGCCGCCUAGCUGUAUAAAUUUUAUUUAUCUUGCUGAAUAAAACAGUUCAGUCGAUAUUCUUCAUUGAUCA